UUUUAGGGCCAACCUUUCCUUCCUUUCAUGUGGUAAAGAAGCCCCCUUUGAGGGCUGCGCUGUGUAAGCCUCUUAAUUGCAGGGCUAAUAUGAACCAGAGCAGAAUGAUCCAUCCAAGAAUCUUUGUUUGGAUUCGUGACCGUUUUCAAAGGGGACUCGGGGUCCCUCCCUUAUCUGGUCUCCUAUCAGCUGAAUGACGACCCGGAGUCAGGAAGCGUCCAGCUGCCCCUGGCACUGCAUCUGAGGAGGCAUUUUGCACCUGUCUCUGGAGGACGCCCCAGCCCCUGCCGUCCUGGCCCAUGGCACACUCCAUGGCAUUCUGCCCUCACCUUUGUGCAAGAGCUUUUUCCUGGAGAGUAGCCUGCAAACGUUCUAAGGCUGCCAUUUCCUCCAAGAUACACCCUAGUGGCUUCUUUGUUCCUUGAUGUACAGCAGAAGAUAGGUUUAAGUGAUGUUUGGAGAAUUUGGUAAUUAAAAGAAUAUGUUAUGCGGA